rnacentral:rRNA from 1 species
GAUGAACGCUGGCGGCGUGCCUAAUACAUGCAAGUCGAGCGAACGGACGAGAAGCUUGCUUCUCUGAUGUUAGAGGCGGACGGGUGAGUAACACGUGGAUAACCUACCUAUAAGACUGGGCUAACUUCGGGAAACCGGAGCUAAUACCGGAUAAUUUUUUGAACCGCAUGGUUCAAAAGUGAAAGACGGUCUUGCUGUCACUUAUAGACGGAUCCGCGCUGCAUUAGCUAGUUGGUAAGGUAACGGCUUACCAAGGCAACGAUGCAUAGCCGACCUGAGAGGGUGUAGCGGCACACUGGAGGUGAGACACCAUCCUGACUCCGACAGGCGGCAGCGGUAGGGAAGCGUCCACGAAGGGCGGAAUCUUGACGGAGCAACGCCGCGUGAGUGAUGAAGGUCUGCGGGUCGUAAGACUCUGUUAUUGUUGAAGAACGUAUGUGUAAGUAACGAUGCACAUCGUGACGGUACCUAAACAAAAAGCCACGGCUAACUACGUG